rnacentral:misc_RNA from 1 species
CAUUCAUCUUAAUGGAGACGAACUGAAAAUUUUACAAGUUGGCAACAAUUUCCAUUUAUACAUAACAUGAUAGCAAUCAUGCAUAACAAUUACAACAAUAGAAUGGUGAACACCAAAUUUACUUUUGUGGAUCAACUUUUAUAUACAUAUUUUUUUGCAAAAUACAAGUAAGCAACCAAUUGUACCGUGCUAAGUCCAGCUAGCAGGCAAUAGAAGUAAUCAAGAUGAGCUCGAUUCAGAUUAUCAGCAAACCAACUAUCACGGCCUUCUCCUCCGGUGACUUUCUCAAUGAUAGAGAUGAGAAAACUGUUAAUAAAGCUUUCUUCACCAUAGAUGCUAAUGUAGAGAGAAAGACCCACACUUCUUAAUUCUUUGGGGACUUGAUCAUAGAAGAAUGCACAAAGUAAAUGCAGUGUUCACCAUUCUGUAAUUGUUAUAGAUUAUUGUAAUCAUGUUAUGUAUAAAUGUACAUUGUUGCUAAGUCGUUAAAUUUUCAGUUCGUCUCUAUUAAGAUGCAUGGCUGCAAU